UACGUAGGGUGCGAGCGUUGUCCGGAAUUAUUGGGCGUAAAGGGCUCGUAGGCGGUCUGUCGCGUCGGGAGUGAAAACUCAGGGCUUAACCCUGAGCCUGCUUCCGAUACGGGCAGACUAGAGGUAUGCAGGGGAGAACGGAAUUCCAGGUGUAGCGGUGAAAUGCGUAGAUAUCUGGAGGAACACCGGUGGCGAAGGCGGGUCUCUGGGCAACAACUGACGCUGAGGAGCGAAAGCGUGGGGAGCGAACAGG
rnacentral:rRNA from 1 species